GGCCCUCUUCUCGUCUCGCCGUGUUCCCUGUCGGAUAGGCUCGCUGCUGCUGCGCCUGACUGCACGCAAGGCUUCAGUAUUAGCGCUUUUUCUAGCACCCGAAGAGCAGAGAAUCGGGGCAUAUGUUAUGCAUCCUCCAAGUAAAUGAAGAAACACCUACUGACUUGGAAAGGAUUUGCACGAGGGCUUCAAAAUUCACAUUCCAGGAGUUCAACUCUUUUCAAUUGCACCAAGGUAAGAAAGUGAAUCGAAUGUACUGACCAUAGCAUCAAAAUAUCGGAGAAACUGUACCUUGGAGGAUGGCUGCCCUCAUCAUUUGAUCUCAAGAGAACUCCCAGUCAUUUGCCCAAGUACCUUCUACUUGGAGUGGAGAGAAUGAGGUGGGAGAUGGAACAGCAGGAACCUGACCAUGAAGAGAGAUAUUGGCAACAAGGCAUACAAUUAAGCUGAAUGCUUUCUAUUAGUUAUACACCUAUUGCUCACAAUUGUCUCUUGUGCUGAGUUGCAACCUCCUGGGUUUUGGCACUGCUUUUGAAACCUAACCAAGAGCACAACUUUCUCUUUCAUUUAAAUGAGAACAAUUGCAAAGUUCAUAUCUCUUUUGAAGCACCAUACAGGAAAGUCUAUGAUUUAACCUAGAAAACAUAAAUAAAGGUAUAGAAGCUAUAAAGCCAAGGGAAGACAGGAGAACAAUCCCUCUAAAAUUCUUCUCCUCUUUCUUUAUGAAUGCUUAAUGUGUUAGGAACAGAUACCAUAUAAUAAGCCACAAAGCAAUAACAGUUUCAGUUCCCUUUUCCAAACUCUUUGCUCUUUGGCAACAGAAAUUGUUUCUGAACAAAAAAAUCCACUCUGUGAUCUUUAUAACAUAUGUUUCUAUGCCAGCAUGAUAUUAUGAAAAUGACUUACAGU